CGGCGAGCAAUACUCAUAACUCCCAAGCGCCUGCGAACGCAAGCUCUCCUUACCCCGGUGCAGAUGGAGCUCGUGUCCCAAGGCGCCUCCAGGCCUAAACCCGGGCCUGC
ensembl:miRNA dre-mir-2198 dre-mir-2198